rnacentral:rRNA from 1 species
UACGUAGGGACCAAGCGUUGUUCGGAUUUACUGGGCGUAAAGGGCGCGUAGGCGGCUUGCCAAGUCACUUGUGAAAUCUCUGGGCUUAACCCAGAACGGCCAAGUGAAACUGGCAUGCUAGAGUGCAGAAGGGGCAAUCGGAAUUCUUGGUGUAGCGGUGAAAUGCGUAGAUAUCAAGAGGAACACCUGAGGUGAAGACGGGUUGCUGGGCUGACACUGACGCUGAGGCGCGAAAGCCAGGGGAGCAAACGGG